GACGAACCGUACGAACGUUAUUCGGAAUUACUGGGCUUAAAGGGUGCGUAGGCUGUGCGGAAAGUUGGGCGUGAAAUACCUCAGCUUAACUGAGGAACUGCGUUCAAAACUACCGUGCUCGGGGGAGACAGAGGUAAGCGGAACUUAGGGUGGAGCGGUGAAAUGCGUUGAUAUCCUAAGGAACACCGGUGGCGAAAGCGGCUUACUGGGUCUCUUCUGACGCUGAUGCACGAAAGCUAGGGUAGCGAACGGG
rnacentral:rRNA from 1 species